rnacentral:rRNA from 1 species
GAUUUCUGGCCUGGUGUGCCUGGCCCGCCAGCGUUAGCUGUGUGAGUGUCGGGACGCGCCUGCCAUCCUUCUAGAGAACAUAUUUACCUUUCAUUAGGCCGAAUAUGCCAUCUAGAUCUUUUACUUUGAAAAAAUUAGAGUGUUUAAAGCAGGCUUUUGCUAUGAAUACAUUAGCAUGGAAUAAUAAUUUAGGACUUUGGUCUUAUUUUGUUGGUUUCUAGGACUAAAGUAAUGAUUGAUAGGGACAGUUGGGGGUGCUAGUAUUCAGCGGCCAGAGGUGAAAUUCUUGGAUUCGCUGAAGACUAACUUAUGCGAAAGCAUU